CAUGCAAGUCGAACGAGAAGCCCCUUCGGGGGUGGACAGUGGCAGACGGGUGAGUAACGCGUGGGAAUCUACCCUAGGGUCUGGGACAACUACUGGAAACGGUGGCUAAUACCGGAUAAUCUCGCAAGAGCAAAGAUUUAUUGCCCUUGGAUGAGCCCGCGUAGGAUUAGCUUGUUGGUGAGGUAACGGCUCACCAAGGCUACGAUCUUUAGCUGGUCUGAGAGGAUGAUCAGCCACAUUGGGACUGAGACACGGCCCAGACUCCUACGGGAGGCAGCAGUGGGGAAUAUUGCGCAAUGGGGGAAACCCUGACGCAGCCAUGCCGCGUGAAUGACGAAGGCCUUAGGGUUGUAAAGUUCUUUCAAUGGGGAAGAUAAUGACGGUACCCAUAAAAGAAGCCCCGGCUAACUCCGUGCCAGCAGCCGCGGUAAUACGGAGGGGGCUAGCGUUGUUCGGAAUCACUGGGCGUAAAGCGCGCGUAGGCGGGCUGAUUAGUCAGGGGUGAAAUCCCGGAGCUUAACUCCGGAACUGCCUUUGAUACUGUCAGUCUUGAGAUCGAGAGAGGUAAGCGGAAUUCCGAGUGUAGAGGUGAAAUUCGUA
rnacentral:rRNA from 1 species